GGAAGUCCAGGCAGGAACCUGUACACAAGAUCUGAAGCAGAGACCAUGUAAAAAAUGCUGCUUAUUGGCUUUGUCCUCAUAAUUCAUACAGUUUGCUUCUCUUAAGCAAGCCAGGACUACUUACCCAGGAGUGGAGCCAUCCCUGGUGGAAUGGGUCUUCAUAGAUCAAACAUUAAUCAAGGAAACACCCUACUUAAGAUAUACUGGCCGAGUGGUGGCUGCAUAUGGCUUCAAUCCCAGCACCUGGGAGACAGAGAUUACUUUAGGCUCAACCACCUUGUCAAAGAAGCUCA
rnacentral:lncRNA from 1 species